GGAAAUAUGCCUGAAUUUUAAGGGCUACUUUGAUAGAGUAUUCUACAGG
rnacentral:tRNA from 1 species